UACGUAGGGGGCAAGCGUUGUCCGGAAUCAUUGGGCGUAAAGCGCGUGUAGGCGGCUCGAUAAGUCUGCUGUGAAAGUCCAGGCUCAACCCUGGGAUGCCGGUGGAUACUGUCGAGCUCGAGUCCGGAAGAGGCGAGUGGAAUUCCUGGUGUAGCGGUGAAAAUGCGCAGAUAUCGGGAGGAACACCGGUGGCGAAGGCGGGUUCGCUGGGCCGUU
rnacentral:rRNA from 1 species